AGUGAAUGAAAUCAUCUCAGAACCAUAAAUGUGUGAGUUUUGUGUACAUAAUAACGUAAAUUCAUCUUUAAUCAUUUUCAUUCUAUACAAAAUCUGCCGAUUUUAGAAGCCUUAUUGCCAGUUUAUGGGAAUCGGCAAAUAUCAGUUAUCGGCCAUGACAAUGAUCUUAAUAUCGGAUAUCGGUAUCGGCCCAAAAAUUUCAUAUCGGUGCAUCACUACUGGAAAUGCUUGCUAAGAAUGGACCUGAUGUAUCUUCAAAUGUGCCAGUUGGUUGUUUGUGAACAUUUUUUCUUUUCUAGCUUUAGACAAGACAUGACAUCCUGCAGCCACUGUGUGAGUGAGGAGAGGUGUCUUUCCAUUAGAGUGAAAUAGCACGGCGGAGCAGAACCAGGGCAAAUAAUAAAAAAAUAAAUAUUUUGCUAGCAUUAAGAUUUAGUUGAUUUUCAAUGACUUCAAAAAGAGCUACAACAGAAUUUAGUUUAAAUCUGAGGUUAAGAGCUCGAAAUAGUGUCAAAGACAGUCCUUCGACCAAAGCAUGUGGCUGAGGGAUCUCUCUAUCAGAUUACAUCAUAUGCAGGCAGGUUGCCUUCAGGGUACAUACAGGACAGUUUGGCCUUUAGCUUUUUAAUGAAAAAGAAUGAAGGAGCAAUGAAAUGUGCAGCUACAGGCCAACAUCUCCCAUUUAUCAGGGGGUCUAAUUUAAUGAGCCACCCAAAAACCUAUACUGGGCCCCCUAUGAACAUUUCUGGGGGCGCCACUGCCUGGAGUGACAGAGCAGCAAUAAUAUUAAAAGGAUUUUUUGCAAGAAUAAGUGCUCCACAGUUAGAUCUAAUGUGCUUACUAUAAGUGCACCUAAUCUAAUACCGGCGUUGAUGCAACCUCUAAAAGUGAUGACUCAAAGGAAAAAAAGCAGUUUUAGUACCUGAUGGUGACUGAACUCAGUGUGUUUUUCAUCCCGCAUUCCUCCGUCUUGUUCUGACAAAAGAAGAAAGAUUAAAGUGGAACACUACGAAGGAGAACAAGGACCCUUUGUGCUGUAAUUAUAGGUGUGUGUCCGAGCAUCCAAUAGGAAAAAUUAGUCCCAACAGGAGGAGGAGCAGCCAAGAAGAGGGAAAGGAGCCAACAAAGCUACAGUGGUGUGAAAAACUAUUUGCCCCCUUCCUGAUUUCUUAUUCUUUUGCAUGUUUGUCACACAAAAUGUUUCUGAUCAUCAAACACAUUUAACCAUUAGUCAAAGAUAACACAAGUAAACACAAAAUGCAGUUUUGAAAUGAUGCUUUUUAUUAUUUAGGGAGAGAACAAAAUCCAAACUUACAUUGCCCUGUGUGAAAAAGUAAUUGCCCCCCCCUUGUUAAAAAAUAACACAACUGUGGUGUUUCACACCUGAGUUCAAUUUCUGUAGCCACCCCCAAGCCCGAUUACUGCCACACCUAUUUCAAUCAAGAAAUCACUUAAAUAUGAGCUGCCUGACACAGAGAAGUAGACCAAAAGCACCUCAAAAGCUAGACAUCAUGCCAAGAUCCAAAGAAAUUCAAGAACAAAUGAGAACAAAAGUAACUGAGAUAUAGCAGUCUGGUAAAGGUUAUAAAGCCAUUUCUAAAGGGACUCCAGCGAACCACAGUGAGAGCCAUUAUCCACAAGUGGCAACAACAUGGAACAGAAACUGCACUGUGCACUUUGAAGAAAAUGGCAACCUCAACAUUGAAGUGUACCGGAAGCCCACACACACGGACCAGUACCUCCUCUUCGACUCACAUCACCCUCUGGAACAAAAACUUGGAGUAAUCAAGACCUUACACCACCGGGCAGAACAUGUUCCCUCUAAGCCGGAAGGGAAAAAGAAGGAACACACAUAUAAAGGAAUCACUUAAAACAUGUGGCUAUCCUAAUUGGGCGUUUAUUAAGUCAGCAAAGAUGCACAGAAAAGAAGACCAGACACCAGCGAGGGAGGAUAAGAAAGACAGACGCAACAACCUUGUCAUCCCCCAUGUAGCCGGUGUAUCAGAGAAACUCAGGAGGGUUUUCUCCAAACACAACAUACCAGUGUACUUCAGGCCCAGCAGCACACUCAGACAGAAACUGGUUUACCCGAAAGACAAAACUCCUAAACACAAACUGAACAAUGUGGUGUAUGCUGUACAGUGCAGCAAGGAAUGCCCAGACCUCUACAUCGGAGAAACCAAACAGCCACUUCACAAGCGCAUGGCACAACAUUGAAGAGCCACCUCCAUGGGACAGGACUCAGCAGUUCAUUUGCAUCUAAAGGACAAAGGUCACUCUUUCGAGGAUGCCAACGUUCACAUUUUGGACAGAGAGGACAGAUGGUUUGAAAGAGGAGUAAAGGAAGCCAUUUAUGUCCACUGUGAGCAACCAUCUUUGAACAAAGGCGGUGGUUUACGACACCAACUGUCUGCCAUCUAUAAUCCAGUUUUGAGAUCUCUUCCCAGAUGCCUCAACGCCCACGCAUAUCCUGGGCCACAUGACCUCAGGAAUUCACAUGAUAGGGUGGGGCCAGGCUUCACAAUGAGCUCACCCGAAACUCUGGCUGAAUAGGACCAACACCCACCCUCACACCUUGGCUCAUGUGUUUAUGUAGAAGAUCAUCAGGGGGUCUUUUGUUCCCUCUUCUGGGGGAAACUCCCACUGGGUUUAAAUCUGGGACUCUCCACCAUUUGACCUUAGAACUGAAGAAGCCUCUCGGAUGAGAGGUGAAACGUCUUCAAGCAACUCAAAGAAGUCCAGACGCUUUGCUUUCAAAGCUCAUUAGACAACAUGGAACAGUGGUGAACCUUCCCAGGAGUGGGCGGCCGACCAAAAUUACCCCAAGAGUGCAGAGACAACUCAUCCGAGAGGUCACAAAAGACCCCAGGACAACUUCUAAAGAACUGCAGGCCUCACUUGCCUCAAUUAAGGAACUGGAAGGCUUGCUGUGAUAAAUGGAACCAUGAAUUCUACUGUCUACCAAAACAUGCUGAAGGAGAAUGUCCGGCCAUCUGUUCGUCAACUAAAGCUGAAGCGAUCUUGGGUGCUGCAGCAGGACAAUGACCCAAAACACACCAGCAAAUCCACCUCUGAAUGGCUGAAGAACAAAAUGAAGACUUUGGAGUGGCCUAGUCAAAGUCCUGACCUGAAUCCUAUUGAGAUGCUAUGGCAUGACCUUAAAAAGUCGGUUCAUGCUAGAAAACCCUCAAAUAAAGCUGAAUUACAACAAUUCUGCAAAGAUGAGUGGGCCAAAAUUCCUCCAGAGCGCUGCAAAACACUCAUAGCAAGUUAUCACAAAUGCUUGAUUGCAGUUAUUGCUGCUAAGGGAGGCCCAACCAGUUAUUAGGUUCAGGGGGCAAUUACUUUUUCACACAGGGCAAUGUAGGUUUGGAUUUUGUUCUCUCCCUAAAUAAUAAAAAGCAUCAUUUCGAAACUGCAUUUUGUGUUUACUUGUGUUAUCUUUGACUAAUGGUUAAAUGUGUUUGAUGAUCAGAAACAUUUUGUGUGACAAACAUGCAAAAGAAUAAGAAAUCAGGAAGGGGGCAAAUAGUUUUUCACACCACUGUAUUUGCAAACUAUGUUAAUGUCAUCUUUUGUUAUUGCCACUCACUGACAACUCCUGCUGUCAGAUCUUCAGCCUCAGUUAUCUUCCCUGUAAGUCUGUAAAAAAAAAAAUAAAAUAACACAGAUGCCACACCUGUGAUAACAAAAUGUGACAAUGUUUUGCAUUACUAAUAAAGCUUUUUGUUGAAUUUGGACGGAUAUGAGGACUUUUUCCAAAAUAAUUCAGUGGAGUUGCAUUGAUUUUUAUUUACUGCAUUUCUCAGUUUGAUUGUCUGUCUGGUAACAAAAGCGAUCAUGUGCAUUUAUUGGUCAACGGUUGUAACUCUGAU